UACGAGGGGGGCAAGCGUUGUUCGGAAUUAUUGGGCGUAAAGGGCGCGUAGGCGGUGCGGUAAGUCACCUGUGAAACCUCUAGGCUCAACCUAGAGCCUGCAGGCGAAACUGCCGUGCUUGAGGGUGGGAGAGGUGCGUGGAAUUCCCGGUGUAGCAGUGAAAUGCGUAGAGAUCGGGAGGAACAUCUGUGGCGAAGGCGGCCAUCUGGACCAGCACUGACACUGAGGCACGAAAGCGUGGGGAGCAAACAGG
rnacentral:rRNA from 1 species